UACCAGCACCCCGAGUGGUCGGGACGUUUAUUGGGCCUAAAGCAUCCGUAGCCGGUUCUACAAGUCUUCCGUUAAAUCCACCUGCUUAACAGAUGGGCUGCGGAAGAUACUAUAGAGCUAGGAGGCGGGAGAGGCAAGCGGUACUCGAUGAGUAGGGGUAAAAUCCGUUGAUCCAUUGAAGACCACCAGUGGCGAAGGCGGCUUGCCAGAACGCGCUCGACGGUGAGGGAUGAAAGCUGGGGGAGCAAAGCAGGAUUA
rnacentral:rRNA from 1 species